CUUCUCAUCUUCCAAACUCACGAGCGCAACCGACGGCGUAACUGUACUAACGAUACUAGACACGCGGACUCCCGGGUACAACGAGAAUCAAGUAGGGACAAGCAGCGCCAUCUGACAAUAGCAAGAACAAGCUGACCUCCUCCAGGAUACCCCUCAUCCUGUUCCUGAUCUCGUGAUCUUGUCGCUCUCGUCGGCGUACCCAGUGUUUUCGAAUCGUCCAACCCGUUACUCACCGAGAAACCUUUUACUACGUCGACGUGUAGACGCCAAGAGACGGCGUACGCUUACGUGAAUAACCUUAUUAAUCCUGCCUGAGGGAUCAUUUCCAAUUUUGGAUCGACCUUGCCAAGAGUCGUCUGUCUCUCUGCUUGCCCGUCCAUUCAACAUACGUCGGAGGAAGUGUCGUAAAACCAUUAAUUUCAACAGACCUAGCGGGACAUAAGCUUCUAUGCAUAUCGAAUUAAUUAGCUUAUCAAUAUUUAUACUUUAUUGGUCAAUUAAUAAAGGCGUCAUUUGUUAAAUGCACUUUUUGACAUAUCUUUUGCAGACUGAUUAGCGAAUCUACAGGUGCCACGUAUAAUCCCAAUGUUUGUUUCAUAAAUCGACAAUAUUAUUAAUUUGUACCUAUAAAUAUUCAAGAUAUCUGAUAAGCAAGGUAAAUAAAAAUAAAAUUUUUUUUCAUGAUUACU